CAGAUUGUAGCCAAUACUGUUUCUAAAUGAAAAAUCAUCAUUAAGCAUCUACCGUUGUUUUCAAACUUAAAAUCUGCAGCAAAAUUUCAAGACAUGCAAAUAGCUCGGUGAAAAUCAAAUAUCUUCUUUCACUGAGUUCAACUGCUAUUAGCCAGCAGUUUGGGUUUCCUUUCUCUUCUAAGGAAACUUCCAACUCCCAGUGCUCCUCAGCGUGUGAAAACCAGAGGACCAAAGGACCAAUGUUCUUUUUCGUCAACUAUUUGUGGUUUGGCACUGGGAGUCCUUGCAGUCGUGCCUCAGAGUCCUCCAUGGUCUGGCUUCCUCAUGCUCACAUUCAGCUCUGAAUUCUUCAAAGGAAUCUCUGCAGAAAAGGAACACCAAACAGCUCAUGUCAUAAGUUGAAAUUCCUAUUGACAUCUGACAACUCUGUAAGCUGGAAAGAACAUAGUUGUUAUGUCAGAAAGGUCUUCCAGUCUCUUUCAUGUGAGCCUUGGCAAGUUAGGUGACGUCUCUGAGCCUUGUUCCUUCAUCUCUUGAGUGGGGAUAAUGAUAUCUACCUGCCAAGACCAUUAUAAGGAUUAAAGGGAUAAUUCAUAUUAAAAUCUUGGCACAUACUAAGCACUUCAUAAAAAAU
rnacentral:lncRNA from 1 species